UACGGAGGGUGCGAGCGUUGUCCGGAAUCACUGGGCGUAAAGGGCGCGUAGGCGGCCGUGUAAGUCACUUGUGAAAUCCCGGGGCUCAACUCCGGGGCUGCAGGUGAGACUGCAUGGCUAGAGCACGGUAGAGGCGAGUGGAAUUCCCGGUGUAGCGGUGGAAUGCGUAGAUAUCGGGAGGAACACCAGUGGCGAAGGCGGCUGCCUGGGGCUUUGCUGACGCUGAUGCGCGAAAGCGUGGGGAGCGAGUCCGG
rnacentral:rRNA from 1 species